AUGGCAGGUCAGCAUACUGCCGUGAAUACGUUCCCGGGCCUUGUACACACCGCCCGUCACACCAUGAGAGUUGGGGAUACCCGAAGCCUGUGAGCUAACUAAAAGAGGCAGCAGUCGAAGGUAGAAUCAAUGAUUGGGGUGAAGUCGUAACAAGGUAAC
rnacentral:rRNA from 1 species